UGGCUUUGAAUUUACAUAAACAUGUGUACUCUUUUCUCUUUGUGCACAUAACUGCACCCUUUUCUUCAUAACUUGCAUGUCGAUCCAUCUAAUUUGAACUUCAGCAAAAAUUGAACCGCUUACAUCAGUCUAAUAUUCUGCAGAGCAAAGCACAGAUUGUUUUAAUGCUUUAGUUUUUCCUUCUGAAAGAUUGACAGUGUAAUCCAAAUAUCUUGGAGGGGCCUGUAUUUUUUCCUGUAUGAGGGAAGAUGAAGUACAACAAGUCUUUUGAAGAACUGAGACCCUAGACUGGAUCUAACACUAUCUAUUGGUUGUUGAGAAUUCAAAACAAAAUAGCAGAAUUGGGGAAAAUGUAUUCUGAACAGGUUCACUUUUUCCCGAUUCUUUCCCUUUAUUGUUAGAGUAUCGAGAAAGUUAAUUUAAUUCUAAUGAUUACAUGCAUUUUGAAGGUAUGGAGUCAAGCAUGUUGUUAAUUAUGCCACUUGUUAAUUAUGAGCAUAGAAAAAGCUACUUGGUUGGAUCAACUAUAAGACAUGCACAUUAUACUUGUCAAGUUGGAAAUUGUAUGAAGAGUUUUAGUAAUGAAAUGAUCCUAAUUAUUUGAUGGUGACAUUAUUUUGCUUUAUGUAGAAAUUUUUACUUAAUGAUAUCCUAAACUUGAAAUCUUGCACUGUGCACUAAUGCAACUUGCCUUUGUUAAGACUAACUGCAGCUCUAUUCCAUUCUCGUUAUUCAUUAUCUUCAUCUUCUUAAUGGUUUAGCGUGAUCUCACUUGCACUUCAAGCUUCCCAGUUACCCCCUAUAACCAGUUUACCUUUUUUUCUCAAACCUACUUGCAAACAACAAGAAAUUUUAUCACAGUCAAGCAAAUGAAGCGAAAAAAAAGAGAAAAAAUUUAAGAGCUCUUGUUAGUUUUGUAAUAAGAAAAACUGAACAUAUAAGUAGCAUUUCAAAUGACUCAGCACACAAAAUUUCAUAGUAAUUGGCAGCAACCUUGUUCUAAAUGAAAGAAGAAGGCCCCUCACAAUCUUUAUUAUUUAGUAUGAUUGAGAUGUCUGGGUCAUACAAGUACUGAUCUCCCCUCCAUGUGCCUCCAGGACCCAAAACUAGAGGUGUCAAUGUGGCAGAUGAGCCUAUGCAGACAUGCAUAUUUAUCAUACUGUUCAUAGUUUGAUCCAGGGCUGAAGACAUAAAACUUGUCAAACCCACUCUUUUGAAUUACAACUGAAUUUCGUCUUCCCUGCAUCAUCAGAAAAGAUGAAAAGAUACAGUUUAUCAAAUUAGCAGAGAAUAAAUCUUGUUAUUUAAACAAAACAAAUUGUAAAUGGACCCCUAUAUAUGAGGUUGGCUUCGAGUGUUCGAUCCCUGCGACUGAAUCCUUUAGGAUGAGAAAUAAAACAUCAAUCUUUCUUAAUAUUAUCAUAUGCAGUGUCUUCUGGGAGACAGUGGAAACCAUAAGUGGUCAUGCUAAGCACAUCAUAUGCCUCAUAGGUGUUUUCACCAAUCCACAGGGUUAUAAAUCUCAUGCUUUCAUGCAUGAGGGAGGGAAAAGGGAGAUGUUUGUAUAUUUGUAUAUUUUAUUCUCUUACUAUGUACCUUGAUAUUAAGUUUCUUUUUUUAUAUCAAAUGUGUGAUAGUUCCUGCAUCAAAUAGACUUUUUCCUUUGAUUUUUUCACAUUUCUAUUUCCUUUGUCAAAUUUGUUUCUAAUUUCCCUUAAAAGUGAUUAUUGUCAAGGCUUGCAAUACCCAUCUAAUUCCUGGUGUUCUAACAUUUUCCUUGGAAUAAUAGCAGCGCCUAUAAAUACUUAUAUAAUAUUAACAUGAGAUCUCUAUAUUGAAAAGAAAAGAAAUUCCAUAUAUUGUUGAGCUCAUUACUCUAUCAAUAAUUGCGAACUCUCGAGGUGCAUUGGAGUAAAUCCUACUCAUUCUCUCUAUCAUAGGUGCAUAAUCAUCAUCUUCUUCUGCCUCUGAUUCUUCUAUUUUGAAUCCUUCAUUCAUUGGUUCAUUAUCCUUUUUAUCUUCAAUUUCCUGCCUAGAGAACAAUGAUUGAAGUGCUUUCUGAGCUAAGGAUUGGCUUGAAUUUGAGGCUCCUUUUCUGUUGGUAUCUGGAGGAACGGUACUGAAUCCUGACAUCAUGGAUUGUUUCCUACGGUAACAGAGCCUGACAAUUGGGUAGACGAUGAUUUAGUAUUGCUGAUGGUAAACUGCGAGCCUAGGAGAUCUUGAUGAAGUGUCACCGAGCAUUUGAGUUCAUUCAUGUUCUCUGGAGCAACGGAUACAAGCUCCACCUGACGCUGAAUAUUGCAGAGAAUCAGAUACAAAUGAAUAAAGCAGAGGAAUUAUAGUAGGGACAAUGAAAUAGUUGAUGACUUGGUGUAGCUUUAGAAUGUAACCGCUGCCAUUUGCUUAAUUGUAGUGCAGGAAACAAGUUCGAAAAGCAGCAUAUGGCAUGAGUAGAGCUCAAUUUAGAUUGAAUAAAGCAAAUGAACUGUCAUUUGCUUAAUUUAGACUGAAUCCCCAAUUUUCCCACCACCCCCCUCGAAAAACAAAAAAUAUGAUGAUCUCCUGAAAACUACAUCAAAAUCGCCCUGGACUAGGGGAUUGUGAAAAGAAUAAUCUUUAUUUAUGUUAGAAAAUGGUAAGAACUCUCAACUCUUAAAGGACCCAUGUCACCCAUUUGUGGAUAAAUCUUACUGUUACAUGUAGCUGAUGAAAUGAAGAUGUUGGCGUUUACAUUUAUAUGAAGUACUAAAGAAAUUCUAACAAAAAGCAUUUUUUAUGAUUCAAUGGCAGUCCAAUAUCAUUAUGGCAAAAAGAGAUGUUUUUCCUUCCCAAGAAUUACAGGGACGGGUUCAGUAUAUUCUCAAGAGUCUAGUCUCAGCAGAUUUGGAAGAUGAAAACUUAUCUUCGCUACUUGAAUGUAAGUCACUUUAACUAGCAUGCUGCAAUUGGUCCUUGCUUGCAAAUCUUUAGUCUUACCAAAACUCAAACGCAGAAAAGAAUGGAAUCAAAGGUUGAAGACUCUGCCUGAAUAGAGUCUUCAGACUUCCUCUUAACAUUUUGAAGAGACCUAGUGCUUGGGGACCAUGGAAUUCCACCAUCAUUCACAAGCUUGAUAUCUGCAGAUGCCCCCUCUUGGAUAACUGCUUCACCAUUUUUGCCUUUUGAUACAGCUGUUUGCAGCACUUCCAUGGCCGCUCCGUGCCACAUGAGUGGC
rnacentral:lncRNA from 1 species